rnacentral:lncRNA from 1 species
AUGGAAUGUGAUGCUAUUGCUACUCAUCAUAAAUGUCUGUCAGUAUUGCCUCCCUGUUGAGGCCAUGAGCUCCAUAAGUAAGAGCAGGAAUCAUCCUUCUUUGUGACUUCCGUGAUGCCCUCAGCAAAGUAUGCCUGAAUUCAUGGUUAUUUGCUGAUCCAUUAAUCCCCCAAAACCAGGAGGAUCAGAGGAAAUACUGCCCUGUCCAGAGAUAAAGGCCACAGGACACCUAAUCAACAGGGCCUGACAGAUCACUCCUUCUGCCUCUGGCCAACAGAUGAGGACCAGUCGAUAGAAGCAUUGGAAGACCUGGACUCAGGUCUCAUCCCUGGAAGUUCCCCAUCUUCAGGCUUCAAUAUCUACCUCUACAAACUCUGAACAAUAUCUCCUGUCCUGCCUCAUUGAAGGAUCAUUACGAGAAUCAAAGAAGAUGAUGGAUUUUACCACCUGCAUUGUGUGAAAUAUUGCUGAGGGGUCAUUUUCCCUUGCAUUUUCAAGAUAAACCUUUAGGUUUUGAGUUUUAAAGAGGUUUUUACUAAACUUAUGAUGGAAAUUCAGCCCAAGUGGCCCCUGGGCAGACAAGAAAUAUGGAGACACCAGGAUUGCCAGGAUUGCCUGGCAGCAUCGCCUGGCUUCAAAUGGGCACAAGUCUUUCUCCAAAUUUGGAAGGCUCCUUUCCUGUGUUGAGAAACCCUUAAUGGUCUGUGAGAACUUUCUGAGGAGGGGCCAUCUCUAAGAGCUGCUAGAAAGAAGCAAACUGAUCAGACUUUAAACUUGGAACACCACAACACAAAUGAAGCACUCUGUAAGUAGACAUGCACAGGGCAAUGCCUCAGUAGGUAGAAGUUCUCACAUGGUGCUGUGCCUGGGAUGAGACAGAGAGGAGAUGGAGGUCCCUGAAGAGUGAAAGGGAAUGGGCUUGGUUUUGCCGCACAUCUGCUCCAGGCUCAGUGGAAUGCAUGUCUCUCAUCAGAAUCAAACUCUCAGUUGUGGACAUGUGAUUUGGAUUUACUUUGAUUUCUAGAAGU